UAUUGUCUCUAGAAGUUUCCUAUCCACCGCCAUAAAAAUCCCGUUCCCUCUCUCCUCUGCUUCCCAAAGCCUUAACAACCAUGUCAAACACUCAAAAAAGUCCCACUUUUUUUAAGUUCCAACACUAACCCACUUUACAGAACUCUCUCAAAAACUCUUAUUUUACUUCACUUCACAACAAUACCAUUACCAAGUCACCAGACUCUCCUGAAAUUUCACUGAAUACUCUGUCUUUGCGACUCUAAAGCCUCAAAAUUUCUCACUUUUUUUAAAGUUCUGACACAACACCCAAUUCAGAAAACUCUCUCAAAAACUCAAAUUUUGCAUCAAAUUCUCCAACAAGACUCUGUUACUGUUACUGUUACUGUUUCGAUCCUAGGGAAAACAGAGCAAUGGAGGGAGUGAUGGUUAAGGAAGAAGAAACGGUGACGUACGGUGUGGGAUCAUCGUCCUCUUCAUCUUCGUGCAUUUCACCGCAACCAAUGGAGGGGUUACACGAGGUUGGCCCGCCUCCAUUUCUGACCAAGACCUUUGAAAUGGUGGAAGACCCAGCAACUGACUCGAUCGUGUCGUGGAGCGCAGCUCGCAAUAGCUUCGUUGUUUGGGACUCUCACAAAUUCUCCACCACCCUUCUUCCUCGCCACUUCAAGCACAGUAAUUUCUCAAGCUUCGUUCGCCAGCUCAAUACAUAUGGUUUCAGAAAGGUUGAUCCUGAUCGAUGGGAAUUCGCAAACGAAGGGUUUCUGGCAGGGCAAAAGCAUCUAUUAAAGACCAUCAAAAGAAGAAGACAUGUCACACAGGGUACGCAACAACAAGGAGGAGGAGCUUGUGUUGAAUUGGGACAAUAUGGGUUAGAAGGUGAGCUUGAGAUAUUAAAGAGAGAUCGAGGCUUGCUAAUGGCUGAAAUUGUGAGGUUGAGGCAGCAACAACAGAAUUCAAGGGAACAAAUGAUUGCAAUGGAGGAUAGGUUACAGACCACAGAGAGGAAACAGCAACAGUUAAUGAAUUUUCUUGCUAAAGCACUCAAUAACCCAUCCUUUAUCCAGCAAUUUAGUCAGAUGAGUGCUCAAAGAAGAGGACUACAGGGUGUUGAAAUUGGACGAAAGCGUAGACUUACUGCAAGCCCAAGUGUGGAGAAUUUGCAAGAAGAAGACGUGUCUGUGUUGGCAGGCAGUGACCAAGUUGUGGACUUUACAAGCCAAGAUCGAGAAGAAAUGGCAACUAUGGAAACAUUUUUCUCAGCUGCCUUGGACAAUGAAUCAAGCAGUGAUAUCAAUGACCCAAUUGCAAGUUCAGUACCCACAAGAAGUGGUGCCAAUUUGGAUUCUGUCAAUGAGACCAUAUGGGAAGAACUAUUGAAUGAAGAUCUAAUAACUGAAAAUCCGGAUGAAGAAGCUGUGGUUGGUGAUAAGUCGGAAAUUGAUGUGGAAGUGGAGGAUUUGGUCGCAGAACCUGAUGACUGGGGUGAUGAUUUCCAAGACCUCGUCGAUCAAAUGGUUAUCUCAGGUCGAUGCCGUGACCAACCCCAUAUAUGAGAUGAUGAUGUUGUGGUAUUUUUUUAUGUUUGUGUUGGUCUCUGCAACUCUAUUCAUGUAUAGCCUCAUAAUAGGGAUGGUGAGAGUUGCAAAGAGGCCAACACAUUUUGCUCUUCUUCUGUAUCCUUUAAUGAUAAUUUAAUCAUCCAUAUAUUUUUCCAGCGAAACUUAGGAACAGUUAUUUAGGUAUCUUAGGAACAGUUAUUUAGGUAUCGUACUUCAGGUUCCCAAUAGAAUUCAAUCACAAGGUUAUAUUGACCAAUGAACCUCAUGAUUGAAUUCAAUUGUCAUUGUUCUUUGAAAAAGGUAACAUUGUCUUUGUUGCAUCAGUAACCAUGUGGUUGAAUUUUUGUUGCAUUAGUAGUCAUGUGAUUGAAUUUAGUUGGGAAACAUAAGGUAUAGCAUCUAAGGAAUUAUACUUAAGGCUUGUCCAUUUUAUAAUACCUUCUAGUGUGCUUUGAAUCUGUUCACAGGCUUAUGAUUUGUUGUUUAUGUUCUGCAUUUUGCAGGCAGUCUAGCCAACGGAAAUUUGUAUAAGGAGGGCAUUAAGCAUUGACUCAUUCCCAAGCUACAGCUACAGUCUCUGCUGUAUAUAUGCAUGUUUGAUACCUUGCUCAAUUAUCGUGGCUGGGAAGUUCCAAUUCAUUAAUUUGUAUAUGUAGAUAUCAGCUACGCGUAGAAACUUCAUCCAUGCAGAUGUUAGCUAUGUACAGAAAGUACGCAAACGUUUUUUGUCAUUUUCUCCUCGGAUGUAGAUAUGGAUUUCUUGUUACUAGUUUGUUAUAUGGCUUGCAUUACUAUUAUUUAUGUUGUUAAUGAGCUGUUCUCGGUUUCUGAAUGUAGUCUCUAUUUUUGCUGGCUGACUAAUAUGGCUUUCUCAGUUUCUCUUACAGAGUUACAAUGUGUUUCAGCUCAUUGCUUGGUGCAUAAUGGCUAUAAGGUCUGUGCGUAUUUGGCCAAGCUGCAAUUAAGGAUUUAUAUUCUUCUUGGUAAGUUUAGACUCAUAACUCGUUAGAAUAAGCACUACAAACACAUUUUUAUUUUUGGGUUGACUGUGGCCCGGAUACCCUGUGAACUAAGAUCUGUAUGCAAGCUGGUUUAGCUUUCUGCAACUAAUGGACAGGAAAGUUUGGUCUUGUUUCUGUCUCCGCAAUAAUUAUUUAUUGGCUUAGAUAUAUGCAUUUUCCCUAGUGUGUUACAGAUUGUAAGAGGCUGUGGGAUCCAUACACUAUAAAAAG